AUGACGCAAGAUAAUACAAAAUUGUGUGAUUUCUCUAAUACCAAUAAUAAUGAUUUCCUUAGUACUCCGAUUGCUCCUCUUAAUGAUGUUGAGUCUUGUGAAAUCAAUACUGCUUUGCUGAAUCUUGUUACAAAAGAUCAAUUUGUCGGCCUUCCUAGUGAAGAUGCCGCUACUCAUCUAAAUAACUUUGUUGAUUUGUGUGAUAUGCAGAAGAAAGAUACGGAUAACAAUAUUGUCAAAUUGAAGUUAUUUCCGUUUUCACUUAGAGAUCGUGCUAAAGUUUGGUUUUCGUCUUUGCCUAAAAAUAGUAUUGAUUCUUGGAACAAGUGCAAAGAUGCUUUUAUCUCUAAGUAUUUUCCUCCCGCUAAGAUUAUUACUCUUAGGAACGAUAUUAUGAAUUUUAAACAACUUGAUCAUGAGCAUGUUGCUCAAUCUUGGGAAAGAAUGAAAUUGUUUGCUACUAAAAAUACUCCUCUUGAUCCCAAUGAUAUGCCUUUAUCUUCUUUGAUUGAGAAUAAUAAUGAAUCUAUGGAUGUGAAUUUUGUUGGUAGGAAUAGUUUUGGAAACAAUGCUUAUAGAGGAAAUUUCAAUGCUAGACCGUUCCCUAGUAAUUCCUCUAAUAAUUAUUGA
rnacentral:rRNA from 1 species